rnacentral:rRNA from 1 species
UUCCGUUUGAUCCUGCCGGACCUGACUGCUAUCGGAUUGGUACUAAGCCAUGCGAGUCGUUGUAGCAAUACAAGGCGGACGGCUCAGUAACACGUAGUCAACCUAACCUAUGGACGUGGAUAACCUCGGGAAACUGAGAAUAAACCGCGAUAGAUCAUUAUGCCUGGAAUGGCUUAUGGUUCAAACAAUUUAUUGCCGUAGGAUGGGACUGCGGCCUAUCAGCUUGUUGGUGAGGUAAUGGCCCACCAAGGCUAUAACAGGUACGGGCUCUGAGAGGAGAAGCCCGGAGAUGGGUACUGAGACACGGACCCAGGCCCUAUGGGGCGCAGCAGGCGAGAAACCUUAGCAAUGUGCGAAAGCACGACUAGGUUAAUCCGAGUGAUUUCUGUUGAAGAAAUCUUUUGUCAGUCAUAAAACCACAGACGAAUAAGGGGUGGGCAAGUCUGGUGUCAGCCGCCGCGGUAAUACCAGCACCUCGAGUGGUCAGGAGGUUUAUUGGGCCUAAAGCAUCCGUAGCCGGCUACGCAAGUCUCCGGUUAAAUCCAGCUGCUCAACAGAUGGGCUGCCGGAGAUACUACAUAGCUAGGGAGCGGGAGAGGCAGACGGUAUUCUGUGGGUAGGGGUAAAAUCCUUUGAUCCAUAGAGGACCACCAGUGGCGAAGGCGGUCUGCCAGAACGCGUUCGACGGUGAGGGAUGAAAGCUGGGGGAGCAAACCGGAUUAGAUACCCGGGUAGUCCCAGCUGUAAACGAUGCAAACUCGGUGAUGCAUUGGCUUAUGGCCAAUGCAGUGCCGCAGGGAAGCCGUUAAGUUUGCCGCCUGGGAAGUACGGACGCAAGUCUGAAACUUAAAGGAAUUGGCGGGGGAGCA